rnacentral:rRNA from 1 species
ACGCUCGACACCUACGGCAGGCAGCAGUGGGGAAUAUUGCACAAUGGGGGAAACCCUGAUGCAGCGACGCCGCGUGAGUGAAGAAGUAAUUCGUUAUGUAAAGCUCUAUCAGCAGGGAAGAAAGUGACGGUACCUGAGUAAGAAGCCCCGGCUAACUACGUGCCAGCAGCCGCGGUAAUCUGAGCGGGCUGGCAAGGC